rnacentral:misc_RNA from 1 species
UACGUCGAUCCUAGAAACCAACAAAAUAGAAUCAUGCCGUCCUAUUUUAUUAUUCCAUGCUAAUGUAUUCAAGCAAAAUGCCUGCUUUAAACACUCUAAUUUUUUCAAAGUAAAGGUCCUGGUUCCCCGCGACACCCAAUUAAGGGCAUUGCGGUUCUCCAGAAGGUGAGAAAUUGACUACACCAGUUCAUACCCCUUAAGGCACG